rnacentral:rRNA from 1 species
UUAAAUACCGACCUGCAUGAAUGGCGUAACGAGAUGGGAGCUGUCUCAAAGAGGGAUCCAGUGAAAUUGUAGUGGAGGUGAAAAUUCCUCCUACCCGCGGCAAGACGGAGAGACCCCGUGGACCUUUACUACAGCUUGACACUGCUAUUUGGAUAAGAAUGUGCAGGAUAGGUGGGAGGCUUUGAGUAUAUGACGCCAGUUGUAUAUGAGCCAUUGUUGAGAUACCACUCUUUCUUAUUUGGGUAGCUAACCAGCUUGAGUUAUCCUCAAGUGGGACAAUGUCUGGUGGGUAGUUUGACUGGGGCGGUCGCCUCCCAAAUAAUAACGGAGGCUUACAAAGGUUGGCUCAGAACGGUUGGAAAUCGUUCGUAGAGUAUAAAGGUAUAAGCCAGCUUAACUGCAAGACAUACAAGUCAAGCAGAGACGAAAGUCGGUCUUAGUGAUCCGGUGGUUCUGUGUGGAAGGGCCAUCGCUCAAAGGAUAAAAGGUACCCCGGGGAUAACAGGCUGAUCUCCCCCAAGAGCUCACAUCGACGGGGAGGUUUGGCACCUCGAUGUCGGCUCAUCGCAUCCUGGGGCUGGAGCAGGUCCCAAGGGUAUGGCUGUUCGCCAUU